CCGACACCAGCCCCGCCAGCAGAGGGUCCAGGAGGGAGCUGGGUCCCGGACCCUGGAAGGCUGCGAGGGGAGGGAGACGGGGAGAACACAUGAACUGGGGUUUUCAAACGGCUCACAUCUCGGUCAUAGAAGGGGACCACAUCGGUGGCAAGGUGAGAUUUGUAUGAGGAAUUUAUUGAAUUGUUGAACAUUUGAAUGAUCUAGAUCAGCAGUCCUCAAACUGUGAGUUGCGUGCGACACAAAAGGUAGUGCAGGUAGUUAGGAUCCAGAUACAGGUAGUGGAUGAUCCAGAUCCAUAGGAUCCAGAUACAGGUAGUGGAUGAUCCAGAUCCAUAGGAUCCAGAUACAGGUAGUGGAUGAUCCAGAUCCAUAGGAUCCAGAUACAGGUAGUGGAUGAUCCAGAUCCAUAGGAUCCAGAUACAGGUAGCGCGUUACAGGUAGUGCAUAGUCCAGAUCAGAUACAGGGAGUGCAUUAGUCCAGAUCCAUCGGAUUCAGAAUGAGUUAGUGCUGAGCCCCAAUAGUAGAUAUAAUAUUAAAGAUUGUACUUUUUUUAAAUAAAAAAUACAAUUACAAAACUAUUAUUUCAUUUUCUUUUUAUUGCUUAUGCAUGUUUGCAGACUGCAGGUAGAGCUAAACUUACUGUUGACUGAGUG
ensembl:lncRNA